UCUAUUCCCACAGCCUGUCCUGCCUCCUCCGCCCAUUCUCCUCGCGUCACCACGGGAGCCUCGCCGACGCCUGCUAUUCCUCCUCCCUCGUCUCUGUUCGACGCCGAGGACCAGUUCACCCCACACCUUUUCUCCACCCACGACCUAGGGUUGGGGAGGCUGGGUGUUCUCGCUGGGGUGGAGGAGCAGGGGAGGGCCGGGAGGCCGAAGGUGGGGGAGCAGCGAGGCCGGCGAAUGGAGCAGCGAGACCCGAAUUCUAGGCAUUGUACACAUUGCGGGAUGGAGAAGAGGCCGAUGUGGGGCGCAAGGAGCAGAGGGGCAAGAAAGGUGGGGGUGUGACUUUCAUCUCCUCUCUUCUAAUCGCGACUCUUGCGACCUCGUCAUCGGUGCUCGCUCGGCUGGCGUACGGGGCGGCGGCAGGGACGUUGGCCCUCGGCACGAACUCGAAGCCGAGUCUAGCUGACGAGCCCCGUGCGAUUGUGUGAAGCAAAUGUACGUGGCGAUGCAGGCCAGUUGGUAGUGUAGCAGCCUGCACAUAUGACAGGAGCAGCAGCCAGGUCCAUGGGCGGUUGCUUGCGGAGCAGCGGUCAAGUCACGGGGUACCACCAAUUGAGAAAAUAACUUUCCUUCUUGUGAGAGGGUCCAGCAUCUGAAGAAGAAAUUUUAUUUUCACUUUCAAGACUAUGUGGAUCUUAUCAUAUGGAAGGUACCUAAUAUAUAUACAUUCAAGACUAGCUUUAUUGAAUCACAAUAGUAUUGUGGAAACAUAGUUUGUUGGUUCUGAACAUUUGCGGCACAUAAAUUUUAGCUUUCAGGAAUUAUGAUAUUGGCCAUUUCCACUGAACAAUAGAAGGACACAUGUAAGGACAUAUAGAAACUGAAGUUAGGAUAUAGUGUGAGAAUAGUACACCGAUUUAGUAAGGCAAGUACUGGCUUGUUUUGUCAUCCCUGUGAUGAAAGUUAGUUUAGGUAAUCUUGGUAUAAAACCAUUUCCUUAAAUUGUAACUUAUGGUCAGACGGGGAUUGUUAUUUCACCUGAAUAUUUGAUUAUGCUUCUAAGUUAUGGGAAAUAGAUAAAGUAAGAGGAAAUGGGGCGUUGUUAGGUGGGAUCUUGCCACGGUGGCGUUGGUGAUGUCUGUAGUAUUUUCGUCCUCGCCAGUCACACUAUUCCUAGGUUAUGGGAUUGGAUCUCCAUUUUCCAAGAUUCUUAGCUGAUAAGUAUAUUGUGCGGAAAAAUCUCUACUGAAUGACAAAUCCAAGCAAUCUGGAUACUCCAUGGGACAAAGUUGAAGCUUUGUACAUCACUUCUCUACCUGUUUAUUAAUGUUUCUUCAUGUUUGGCAGUGAUCUGGGUUUCCAUCGACGAAGAUUUCAUGCUCAACCUCCCUCACAGCCCCAGGUUGUGGCAACGCUGCAGAUAUGCCCAUUGCCAUUGAGCAUUUCUAUCUAUAUGCUUCUACAGAGUAUUUGGUUUUUUAACUAUACGCUUGACGAAAUAAUUUCCUUAUAAGCCGGGACAAGGCGUUUGUAGUUGGUAUUUGUACUAUAAGCUCAAUUUUUUUGGUUCAUCUCAUCUCUGGUUAUUUUUUCGUUUUUUGUGUUUCUGCAGCAUAUUAUCAUUAGCAUGUAAAACCUCUUAUAUUUCUUGUUUUCAACAAUUAUUCUUUGGCAGGGAAGACUAUGAUAACACUAAGAUUAUCAGGAAAGGAUUCAGAGCUUUUUUUUAAUCCAGAUUAUCACACAUGAUGCAAAAUUAACAACCACGACUUUGAAAUAUGGAGAUGAUGCUUAUUAUGUGCUAGAAAUCAAAUAUGUAAAGGAGAAGAUAAUGUUUGCGAAGGAGAGGGGAGAGAGAUACGGGUUGAUUCUGGGUAAACUUUGCUUAAUUUGUUGGAGAAAAUGCUCGAUAGAUCUCAUGGAUGGAUGAGGUUGUGGCAGUAGUUCUCGGGUGCAAUAUCUAUCUUGAUAGAGUGAUCGAUCAGGGCACAUUAGAAGCAGAAAGAAGAGGAAACGUUUGGGCCGUCUAUGGCGUUGAAGAUUCAGUGUUUCUGUCUUGUGUACAUGCACGGCCAGUUCAGUAACUAGAUGGCCUUUUCUACUGUACUGGUGCUGCUACUUUUCACAUGCUAGCUUCUUUGGAAAGCGCCAACAGUGUGUACAACAUGUAAAGAGUCCAUGUUGAAAGAACAGAAGCAGAAGUAUGGAGUUGAUGUAUUAAUGGUCAAUCAAGGAAUUCAGUCUCGAUGAGCU